GAGUUUGAUCAUGGCUCAGGAUGAACGCUGGCGGCGUGCUUAACACAUGCAAGUCGAACGAACCUUCGGGUUAGUGGCGGACGGGUGAGUAACGCGUGGGAAUCUGCCCUCAGGAGGGGGAUAACGGUUGGAAACGACCGCUAAUACCCCAUAUGCCGAGAGGUGAAAUGAAUUUCGCCUGAGGAUGAACCCGCGUCUGAUUAGCUUGUUGGUGAGGUAAUGGCUCACCAAGGCAUCGAUCAGUAGCUGGUCUGAGAGGAUGAUCAGCCACACUGGGACUGAGACACGGCCCAGACUCCUACGGGAGGCAGCAGUGGGGAAUUUUCCGCAAUGGGCGAAAGCCUGACGGAGCAACGCCGCGUGAGGGACGAAGGCCUCUGGGCUGUAAACCUCUUUUCUCAAGGAAGAAGAUAUGACGGUACUUGAGGAAUAAGCCACGGCUAAUUCCGUGCCAGCAGCCGCGGUAAUACGGGAGUGGCAAGCGUUAUCCGGAAUUAUUGGGCGUAAAGCGUCCGCAGGCGGCUUUUCAAGUCUGCUGUUAAAACGUGGAGCUUAACUCCAUCAUGGCAGUGGAAACUGAUUGGCUUGAGUAUGGUAGGGGCAGAGGGAAUUCCCGGUGUAGCGGUGAAAUGCGUAGAUAUCGGGAAGAACACCAGUGGCGAAGGCGCUCUGCUGGGCCAUUACUGACGCUCAUGGACGAAAGCCAGGGGAGCGAAAGGGAUUAGAUACCCCUGUAGUCCUGGCCGUAAACGAUGAACACUAGGUGUCGGGGGAAUCGACCCCUUCGGUGUCGUAGCUAACGCGUUAAGUGUUCCGCCUGGGGAGUACGCACGCAAGUGUGAAGCUCAAAGGAAUUGACGGCGGCCCGCACAAGCGGUGGAGUAUGUGGUUUAAUUCGAUGCAACGCGGAGAACCUUACCAGGGUUUGACAUCCUGCGAACCUUUAAGAAAUUAGAGGGUGCCUUCGGGAACGCAGUGACAGGUGGUGCAUGGCUGUCGUCAGCUCGUGUCGUGAGAUGUUGGGUUAAGUCCCGCAACGAGCGCAACCCACGUUUUUAGUUGCCAGCAUUUAGUUGGGCACUCUAGAAAGACCGCCGGUGAUAAACCGGAGGAAGGUGUGGAUGACGUCAAGUCAUCAUGCCCCUUACGUCCUGGGCUACACACGUACUACAAUGCUACGGACAAAGGGCAGCAAACUCGCGAGAGCUAGCAAAUCCCAUAAACCGUGGCUCAGUUCAGAUCGUAGGCUGCAACUCGCCUACGUGAAGUAGGAAUCGCUAGUAAUCGCAGGUCAGCAUACUGCGGUGAAUACGUUCCCGGGCCUUGUACACACCGCCCGUCACACCAUGGAAGUUGGCCACGCCCGAAGUCGUUACUUUAACCCUUGUGGAGAAGGACGCCGAAGGUGGGGCUGAUGACUGGGGUGAAGUCGUAACAAGGUAACC
rnacentral:rRNA from 1 species